GGAAGUAAAAGUCGUAACAAGGUUUCCGUAGGUGAACCUGCGGAAGGAUCAUUACUGAUUUAGCGAACCGAGCGUUAGCGAGGUUUUGCGAUCAACUUGUAUUUAAAACCCACUCUUCAAUGUAUAAAAUUUGUAUUAAUGAUAAAAAUAAAAGAUCACUUUCAACAACGGAUCUCUUGGCUCUCGCAUCGAUGAAGAACGUAGCGAAGUGCGAUAAGUAAUGUGAAUUGCAGUAUUCCGUGAAUCAUCGAAUCUUUGAACGCAUAUUGCACUUUCUGGUAUUCCGGAAAGUAUGCCUGUUUGAGGGUCAGUUAAAUAAAAAUCGGUGUUGUUGCCGCUUUCCGUGGUGACGCGUCGGAAUUGAGUCGUCUUCGGUUAAGUGACUUAAAAUUUUAUAUGAUUUUCGAACGUAUUUAAAUUUAUUUGAACGUUUGAUAUCGAAUGCUUAUUAGGUUCGGUCAUCCUCAUGACUCGCGCCUAUAAUUUUUCAUUAAAUGACCUCAAAUCAGGUAAGAAUACCCGCUGAACUUAAGCAUAUCAAUAAGCGGAGGA
rnacentral:rRNA from 1 species